rnacentral:lncRNA from 1 species
GGUCUUGAAUGUUUUGGACAUGGAUGCCAGGUCACCUUUGGUCAGUCCUAGCAACAUAAUGCACAUCUACCUUGCAAGUAUCAAAGCAUACUACUUAUAUAUUACUUUACUCAAAAUUUUGUAAAUAAUUAAUAGGUUAUUGUAUUUUCAUCUAAUUCCUACCAUAUGUAUAAACACAAGGAUGCGCAUACACAUGCACACAUAUGUACGU